rnacentral:misc_RNA from 1 species
UACAGAGACCUCAAGCGUUACCCGGAUUCACUGGGCGUAAAGCGUCCGCAGGUUGUUUGUCAAGUUUCUCGUCAAAUCUUGCGGCUUAACCAUAAGACUGCGAGGAAAACUGAUAAGCUCGAGGCUGGGAGAGGUAAGCGGAACGGCUGGUGUAGCGGUAAAAUGCGUUGAUAUCAGCCGGAACACCAAAGGCGAAGGCAGCUUACUGGAACAGUCCUGACACUCAUGGACGACAGCGUGGGUAGCGAACGGG